rnacentral:rRNA from 1 species
UAGGGAAUCUUCCACAAUGGGCGCAAGCCUGAUGGAGCAACACCGCGUGAGUGAAGAAGGGUUUCGGCUCGUAAAGCUCUGUUGUUAAAGAAGAACACGUAUGAGAGUAACUGUUCAUACGUUGACGGUAUUUAACCAGAAAGCCACGGCUAACUACGUACACG